AGAGUUUGAUCCUGGCUCAGGAUGAACGCUGACAGAAUGCUUAACACAUGCAAGUCUUUGGCAAAGCUGUGCUUGCACAAUCUAGCCAAGGCGGACGGGUGAGUAACGCGUAAGGAACUUGCCCUGCAGUCAGGGAUAACAGACGGAAACGACUGAUAAAACCUGAUAAAGUCAGACGGACUCAUGUCCAGUCUGAUGAAAAGAAAUGCUGCAGGAGAGCCUUGCGUCCUAUUAGCUUGUUGGUGGGGUAACGGCCCACCAAGGCGAUGAUAGGUAGCCGGCCUGAGAGGGUGGACGGCCACAAGGGGACUGAGAUACGGCCCUUACUCCUACGGGAGGCAGCAGUGGGGAAUAUUGGACAAUGGGGGCAACCCUGAUCCAGCAAUUCUGUGUGCACGAAGAAGGUUUUCGGAUUGUAAAGUGCUUUCAGCAGGGAAGAAAAAAAUGACGGUACCUGCAGAAGAAGCGACGGCUAAAUACGUGCCAGCAGCCGCGGUAAUACGUAUGUCGCAAGCGUUAUCCGGAAUUAUUGGGCAUAAAGGGCAUCUAGGCGGCCAGAUAAGUCUGGGGUGAAAACUUGCGGCUCAACCGCAAGCCUGCCCUGGAAACUAUGUGGCUAGAGUACUGGAGAGGUGGACGGAACUGCACGAGUAGAGGUAAGAUUCGUAGAUAUGUGCAGGAAUGCCAAUGAUGAAGAUAGUUCACUGGACGGUAACUGACGCUGAAGUGCGAAAGCUAGGGGAGCAAACAGGAUUAGAUACCCUGGUAGUCCUAGCUGUAAACGAUGAUUACUGGGUGUGGGCAUGAAGA
rnacentral:rRNA from 1 species